rnacentral:rRNA from 1 species
GAUGAACGCUGGCGGCGUGCCUAAUACAUGCAAGUCGAGCGAACAGACGAGGAGCUUGCUCCUCUGACGUUAGCGGCGGACGGGUGAGUAACACGUGGAUAACCUACCUAUAAGACUGGGAUAACUUCGGGAAACCGGAGCUAAUACCGGAUAAUAUAUUGAACCGCAUGGUUCAAUAGUGAAAGACGGUUUUGCUGUCACUAAUAGAUGGAUCCCAGCCGCAUUAGCUAGUUGGUAAGGUAAUGGGCUACCAAGGCAAGGAGGCGUAGCCGACCUGCGAGACGGGUCGGCCACACUGGAACUGGAACGCGGUAAAGGCGCCUGCGGGAGGGAGCAGAAGGGAAUGUGCCGCAGUGGGCGGGAGCAUGGCAGAGCAACGCCACGUGAGUGAUGAAAAUGUUCGGAGCGUAAGACUCUGUUAUUGGGGAAAAACAAAUGUGUAAGUAACUAUACACGUCUUGACGGUACCGAAUAAAGAAGCCACGGCUAACUACGUG